AUGUUUUAAAUUGAAGACUUUACAAAUGCAUGCCGCUCGAUUCUUAACCGAUGUCCCGCAGUGGGCCUCAGUUACUAAGAUUAUCAGCAUCAUCAGCUCUGCCGGUGUCCACCGCGGCCAUGUGCAUAGAAAAAUUUAAAGGCUGCCGAUGCAGACCCAGCGAAGCCUGAUCUGCAUCUCUACAAAAUCCGCAGUUGUAUUUUCUCACGCUGGAACCCGAAGAUGUCCGAAGUUCACUGUUAACUUUUCUUACAACAAAUCUGCACAGUGCAAGGCAUUCAGCCAGCGUACUAACCAUGGCGACGAUCAAUUUUGACACCGACGCUGCUACAAAUGCUUCUACUGCUCGCACCUGUCAUCGGGCUUCAGGUCUCCACGCAAAAAGUGUAUAUAACGACCUCCACCUCAUGGUACGCCAGCCUUGACCAGCGGCCCAACUCGUCAUGAUUGUUCUCACUUUGACUUUCCUGCUUUACGUCGUCCUGCCCCUCCUUAGGAAAGCCUUUUCCAGGCUGUUCAGGAAAGCAAAAACAUCGACUGCAAAUGAAAGGCCAGCUUAAUUACACACUUGGGAAUUGCAGCAUCUAUCCCAUCUACUAGCAACACUUGUAAAGACUGGAUUAUAACUUUGCCAUAUGACGACAAAGUAGAGUCAGGCUGUUCACUGCUAUACAUGUUUUCCAUGGUCUACCAAUAAAGAAAGAUGUGCAAAAGCA